AGUGAACGCUGGCGGUAGGCCUAACACAUGCAAGUCGAACGGCAGCACAGUAAGAGCUUGCUCUUACGGGUGGCGAGUGGCGGACGGGUGAGGAAUACAUCGGAAUCUACUUUUUCGUGGGGGAUAACGUAGGGAAACUUACGCUAAUACCGCAUACGACCUACGGGUGAAAGCAGGGGAUCUUCGGACCUUGCGCGAUUGAAUGAGCCGAUGUCGGAUUAGCUAGUUGGCGGGGUAAAGGCCCACCAAGGCGACGAUCCGUAGCUGGUCUGAGAGGAUGAUCAGCCACAAUGGAACUGAGACACGGUCCAGACUCCUACGGGAGGCAGCAGUGGGGAAUAUUGGACAAUGGGCGCAAGCCUGAUCCAGCCAUACCGCGUGGGUGAAGAAGGCCUUCGGGUUGUAAAGCCCUUUUGUUGGGAAAGAAAAGCGGCAGGUUAAUACCCCGCUGUUCUGACGGUACCCAAAGAAUAAGCACCGGCUAACUUCGUG
rnacentral:rRNA from 1 species